UACAGAGGGUGCGAGCGUUAAUCGGAAUUACUGGGCGUAAAGCGCGCGUAGGCGGCUUUGCAAGUCGGAUGUGAAAUCCCCAGGCUUAACCUGGGAACUGCUUCCGAGACUGCAUCGCUAGAGUAUGGGAGAGGGAAGUGGAAUUUCAGGUGUAGCGGUGAAAUGCGUAGAUAUCUGAAGGAACAUCAGUGGCGAAAGCGACUUCCUGGACCAAUACUGACGCUCAUGUGCGAAAGCGUGGGGAGCAAACGGG
rnacentral:rRNA from 1 species